GAUCCUGGCUCAGGAUGAACGCUAGCUACAGGCUUAACACAUGCAAGUCGAGGGGCAGCGGGAUUGAAGCUUGCUUUCAAUUGCCGGCGACCGGCGCACGGGUGAGUAACGUGUAUCCAACCUUCCGUACACUCAGGGGAUAGCCUUUCGAAAGAAAGAUUAAUACCUGAUGGUAUCUUAAGCACACAUGUAAUUAAGAUUAAAGAUUUAUCGGUGUACGAUGGGGAUGCGUUCCAUUAGGUAGG
rnacentral:rRNA from 1 species